GUGAGCAAGGCCUGGGGUUCUGGGGGAUCCUAGCUCUUCUUGCUCCCACAGCGGCUGUGAUUUCAGAGCAGCGAUGGGCCCCCUCCCAGCCUCGGGAAUGGCAUCUCCCCGGAACCAGCCCUCACCCCAGAUGCGUGCUCCUUGGGUUAACCACCAGCCCAUGCUGAGGGUGGCAGGGAGCUCAGCAAGCCCUGAGACAUUUGGUCACAGUUCCGCAACUGCAUCUGGAUGGCUGAAAUUCCAUCUCCUUCAUCUCUCCUUUGCCAGUCCCUAGAGUGCCAGGAAAACGUGGCACCACAGAGCAGACCUUCUUUAUCUUUUUUCCAGAAAGCCCCAGGUCCUGCCUCAAGAGAGGAACCCAGAAUUUCCUUCAUUAGGAAGCAAUUGGGCCAACACCCAUCUCCCCCUGUUGAAAGCUUCCUUGGCCCCUCCUGCUGAGCCGCCCUCCUGGUGCCCUCCGGAUGCGGGCGCAGCCCACCAUGACUGUGAGCUCUUAGACUCCAGAGUCCUUCCUGGUAGACUUAAAUUUAAGCUGCCCUCCUGUCUGGAGGGGCCCCACUGGCUCUCAGGCAGGAGCAAGCAGACCCAAGAAUGCCUUGCCUCUGGUCGUCCUGGAAGGUGACCGGUCAGCCCAUUUGACCAAGGUUGCACGGAACAGGCAGGUGACUUGGCCCCUGUAUGUCACAUGGCAGCAUGGGGCAGCAGCUAGAACUUGAAGGCCGCUCCUCCCAAAUAGGAGAAAGCAGAGAGCUGAGAGGGCUUGGGAAUCAACUGCCUUGCUGAGUGGUAUCUGUUUACAAAGGCAGGGGCUCAGAAAUGCUUCCAUUGUGGAGAAACAAAGCCUUGGAAACACAAAAUAAGAAAGCCAGCCCUUGGCCACUCUGGGAGGGAGGGAGCCUCCCUGGGGAUUGGCGCUGAGCGGCCCAGCCUGCGGGGUUCCCAGCGUAUCAGGGUUUCACUGCACCUGUUGGCAUAGCUUCGAGGUGAUUCACUCUGCCUCCUCCUCAGGUCUCCCUGUGUCCUGGCCCGAGGGCUGCGCAUCCUCGAGCACUGGGCCCUGGUGCCAAGCACACCCCCCAGACAGGCAGGACCUCACAGCCCUAUGUUUGGCCUCACCGGUCUCCUGGCGGGUGACUCAGUCUCCCAGCCAAGAUCUACCAGCUGCCUGGGACCUGCCAGGCAAAAUUCCCAAACCCUUAGAGCAGGAUUAGCGAGGAAGUCCUCUCCUGAGCCCCCUUGUGCUGCAGAUUGGGGGUCUGGGAGUGGCUUUCAGAGAAGGGCAGAGUCUCUCUCUGCUUCAGUCACCUCCAGCUGUCCCCCAAGCCUCCAGGCCCUGUGCAGCUGAACAGAUGAAUUGCCUGCAAAUCCGGGCAUCAAGUUUCCCUGUACACGCACACGUGCACAUGCACAUGGACACAGGCGUGCACACCAGUUGUGAGUGCGUGUUUCUGUGUGUGAAGUUCGCGGUCCUGCUGUCUGUGCCCAGGUCCCCGCUCAGCUGGCCACUGCAGGCUUUAGAGUUGGUUUCAGAGAGCUCUCUAGAAGAGACAAGUUUGAAGUGAAGAUUUGAAAACCAGAGUUGUCACGUGUGAAAGGAGACAGCUGGCCACCUGAGUAGUCUACAUGAGUUUCGCAUCGUAAGGGUCAUCAAAGAGGAAUUUCGGAAGCAGGUGCUGUGAUGGGGCUUUUGAUUCCGGGACAGUGGAGCCUGGAAGCUGGCUUACGCCCUCCUUUCCCAAUGAUAUCACACAGGACUGUGAUUCCCAGUAUUCCCCCAGUUUCCGGCUGCAAGAACUUCUCCCAAAAAGCCUCCUCAUGGCCAUUUGUUGAGACUUGACUUCCAUGCAGAAUUUAAAUAAAAGCUAAUGUUUUUAAGAA